rnacentral:rRNA from 1 species
UACGUAGGGUGCAAGCGUUGUCCGGAAUCAUUGGGCGUAAAGCGCGUGUAGGCGGCUCGGUAAGUCUGCUGUGAAAGUCCAGGGCUCAACCCUGGGAUGCCGGUGGAUACUGUCGAGCUCGAGUCCGGAAGAGGCGAGUGGAAUUCCUGGUGUAGCGGUGAAAUGCGCAGAUAUCAGGAGGAACACCAAUGGCGAAGGCAGCUCGCUGGGACGUGACUGACGCUGAGACGCGAAAGCGUGGGGAGCAAACAGG